UGCGUAGGCGGUUUGGUAAGUCAGAUGUGAAAUUCCUGGGCUCAACCGAGGAACUGCAUUUGAUACUGCCGGACUAGAGUACUGGAGAGGAGACUGGAAUUCACGGUGUAGCAGUGAAAUGCGUAGAUAUCGUGAGGAAGGCCAGUGGCGAAGGCGAGUCUCUGGACAGUAACUGACGCUGAGGCACGAAGGCUAGGGGAGCAAACG
rnacentral:rRNA from 1 species